rnacentral:misc_RNA from 1 species
UUAACGGCAAAAUAUAUAAAAUUUAAAAUCUCUCAUUCAAAAUUGCCUUAGCAGACAAAGAAAAUAAACAAAUAAUUCACUGCCACAAACACGGCAGCAAAGUGAAUAAAUGGUAUGGCAUCUAAGCAGCAAAUACAAUCCAUGGUUCAAUACAACUCCGCAAAAUAUAAUCAGGCCUUCCCCUUGAAUGAUCAGCGUCUUUGGGUUUUUCCAAUGGAACGUUUCCCGGAAAACAAGUGCUUAGGUUUGAGAGUAGGAAUAACUCUAUCUGCCUCUCCACGACGAGCAUCCUUAUUCCUCUUUUUAACAGAUUUCUUAGCAAGCUUGAGGGCUUUCACCUUCUGAGCAGAAUCCUUGAAGCCCUCUCCAGGGGCAACCUCACUUGGAGGCUGUGACUUCGAUCUUGACCGAGAUCUGGAUCUCAUUCGCAGCUUCUUAUUUUGUUGGUCAAC